rnacentral:rRNA from 1 species
UGGGGAAUAUUGCACAAUGGGCGCAAGCCUGAUGCAGCCAUGCCGCGUGUAUGAAGAAGGCCUUCGGGUUGUAAAGUACUUUCAGCGGGGAGGAAGGGAGUAAAGUUAAUACCUUUGCUCAUUGACGUUACCCGCAGAAGAAGCACCGGCUAACUCCGUGCCAGCAGCCGCGGUAAUACGGAGGGUGCAAGCGUUAAUCGGAAUUACUGGGCGUAAAGCGCACGCAGGCGGUUUGUUAAGUCAGAUGUGAAAUCCCCGGGCUCAACCUGGGAACUGCAUCUAAUACUGGCAAGCUGGAGUCUCGUAGAGGGGGGUAGAAUUCCAGGUGUAGCGGUGAAAUGCGUAGAGAUCUGGAGGAAUACCGGUGGCGAAGGCGGCCCCCUGGACGAAGACUGACGCUCAGGUGCGAAAGCGUGGGGAGCAAACAGG